rnacentral:rRNA from 1 species
UACGUAGGGGGCAAGCGUUGUCCGGAAUCAUUGGGCGUAAAGCGCGUGUAGGCGGCUUGGUAAGUCUGCUCUGAAAGCCCGGGGCUCAACCCCGGGAGGCGGGUGGAUACUGUCAAGCUCGAGUCCGGGAGGGGAGAGCGGAAUUCCUAGUGUAGCGGUGAAAUGCGCAGAUAUUAGGAGGAACACCGGUGGCGAAGGCGCCACUCUGGGCCGAAACUGACGCUGAGGAGCGAAAGCAUGGGUAGCAAACAGG